ACAUUUAUGAAUUGUAUUUUUCAGAUGGAGAAACUGAGGCAGCACGUGGUUAAUUGUUUUUCCCCACCUUCCACAUGUAUGAAACAUCAAAUUUGAAAUUACCAUUUAUGAAUAUCUUCUGCCUUCCAGCUCUGUGCUGCAGAAAGAAAUUGCCAGUGGAUGAGAUGGUUCAAGUUAUGUGGACCUCUUCUUCCCUUGUGCCCCCCGAGUUCCUGCUUACCUAAAUGACACUUUGUUUCCCACAAAUGAUCCUGGC
rnacentral:lncRNA from 1 species